UAAAAUUUCAGGGUUAAACAUCUGGGAGUUGAUUUUAACUCCCAACGUGUAAAUUUAACACAUUUGGAUUUAAAUCGUGUCCAGAGUCAGAGUUAUUUCACAGAGUUGAUCAGAUCAGUGUUAGUUUAACUCUGCAAAGACGUCAUUAAGCUCCGCCUUUUCUCCUGCACUUCACUUCUUCAGUUUGCGCCACUUCUUCAGUCAGUACUAUUUUCCUCCUCUCGCAUGUCAAACACGGUAAGUGAAAUUUAGUUAAAACUUACUAAAACAAUUAUGAAUUGAUGAUGUGAACUGCAGUAUGUACAUUAACAUUUAUCGAAUUUAUACUCUUCAAAGCCUUGUUUGUUGCCAGGACUGAACGUGUGGUGAGCUAGCAAGAUAAUGUUAGCUUAAUUAGCUAACUGCUAGCUACUAAAAUUGCAAUUAUCAAUGACAAGUUAACAACAAGCUGCUGUUAUUUUUUUACUGUUUAAAGUCUAGUUUGAGGCUGGAGCGAACGGUCCGGUUUUAUUGUUUUUUCGUGGUUGACCACGAAAGGUGCAGCUAAAAACAUGUCCUAACAUGUAGAUGUCUACAGCGCUAAAAGCUAAACGCGGCUAAUGCUAAACGUUAGCUUAAUUAGCUAGCUCGGCGGCUAACUCGGUAGACGGGAUCGUGCCUAUUUAGGACAUGUUUUUAGCAGCGCUAAAAACUAAGCGCUGUUUAUGCUAAAGCGCUGUUUCUCCUGUCUUGUCUGUGUGACCGGGACUUAUCUUUCCCUUAUUCUUGUUAAUGUUAAUUUACUUUGUGAGUUUUUUUUGCAUGUCCAAGUAAGAAGAUGCUGGUACAGGUAAAGCACCACUGACAGCAGAAGUAUAUGAAGUUGGCCGAGGUAGAAGGACACUUUGACUUUCUUCAGUUCCACGAAAAUGAUAAAUUAUUUUUCUUUAGCUUAAAGACUUUGAAAAACAAGUUUAAUAUACACACAUGCUGUUUUAUAACCUCUUUCUGUUAUCCUCACAUAUCUUGAAAAAAGUAUUCACUUUUAAGGAGCUGAAAUUUCCUUUUUUCUCAAAAAAAUAUGCAAAUCGAUGUUUAUCAAUAUAGUUAAUACAUUUAAUAGUCUUAUCUUACUACUUUUUCCAGUUCUUGAGAGAUUUUGUCUGCCACCAGAUGCACAAGUCAUUUACAAGGAUGCAACAGGGACAGAAGUCGACGGAGAAAUAUUCAGCGACUUGGUUGGACAAGGCAAUGUGGUGCUGACAGUUCUCUUAAAUGAUGAGUUUUCUGACUGGUCCUUGUCUUCGGCUUCUGAGUCGGACUCAAGCUUCAGCUCAAAUGCAUCGAUUGUAAACAUGGGUGAGGUCCCAAGGAAGAGACAACGAUUUGCAGAUGCAAAUGCAGCGUCUACUUAACAGUUGAUAGAAGCUGUGCUUAGAGGCAAGUCCGGUGGUGAAGAGGUACUACAGGAGUACCGAAGAACAGAAACAUUAACAGAUGCUGCAAGAUGGCAAAUGGUGAACAUACUGGUGGCUCACAUGAUUGAUAACCAUGGGCACCUCCCCAUUAAAGCAAACAGAGAAGAGUUUGCUCUUGGUAUUGUGAUGUGUUCCCUUCCCUCAAGGAUCCAUAUUCCAAGAACGGCUAUAAGACUUCUUUGAUCCUGCAAGCAACACAGGAUACAUUUCUUGGCGUCUGAAAACAGUCCAAAGGCAGAUUCGUCGAGGGUCUGCAACGCCACCAAGUAGCUCCAUUGACUUUUCUCCAGGAGGCCCAACUUUCCAAAGGAUUGUUAAUGUUGAAGGACAGUGUGGUGGGGAGUAUAAAGCUGUACUUGUUGUAUGCUGUACAAUGGAAGAAGACAUGCCAGUCUUUUGUGAAAUAAGUGAUGUACUUUUGGUUGAUGAUCACAUUUUUCUUUCUGACAAACAAGCUAUUCACAGAGAAUUUGGAUGGCCAUCAUCAUUCACUCUGAGUAUUGUGAAGUGAGAAAAGGUGUCAUAAAAAUGUCAGUGCUUAAAUGAUAUAAACCGUUUGAUAUUCAAAGCUCAUACAAUGUUUCAGAUGAAACUUUGUACAUUAUACCUUCAUUUGUGAUGAUUUGAAUGACUGCAAGGGAGGAAAAAUAAAUGCUAGU